rnacentral:lncRNA from 1 species
AGGAGGUGGCGGUGGUGGGCUAUGGUGAAUCACCGGAGGAGGUGGCGAAGAUGGCGGCGGACUGUAGUGAACGGACGGUGGUGGUGGAGGUGAGUUGUAGUAAACAGGGGAUGGCGGAGGACUGUAAUGUACGGUCGGAGGCGGAGGUGGAGGUGGUGAGUGAUCUAUGCAAGGUGGCGGAGGGGAAUAUACUGGCGUUGGUGGAGGUGGUGGGGAUGGAUAGUGAUAAACCGGUGGUGGUGGUGAGUGCGGUGGUGGAGGUAACCAGUAAUGUGGCGGCGGAGGGGGUGAGCUGUAAUAGUAAGGGGUUGGUGGUGGUGAAAAUUGAGGUGGCUGUGAGGGAGAUGGUUGUGGUGGCUGCGGUGGGUAGUAUGUCGGCGGCGGAGGUGGUGGUGAAGGAGAAUAUGUUGGUGGCGCGGGUGAUGGUGGACAGUGACCUGCCGACGGUGGAG